GUCAAUCACAGUUGACAAUUUCUACUGACAGCUUGAUUUAUUAUGUUAAUUUCUUUAAUUUGAAUCCGAGAACAUCCAGAAUUUCCAGCUCUUCCUCACGCUUGAAGAAUCAGCUUUCGAGUGACGCUGCGCAGCUUCAGGUGGCUGAAGAAGAUGAAACUUCACCAGUAGAACAACGGCGAGUGUUAAGACCACGCAAGAAAGAGCCGGAGGAAAAACCGAUUGUCAAUGAGUCAAAAGUAAAACAAAAAGCUCCAAAGCAACCAAAGUCUACUGCCAAAAACACAGAGGAAGAAAAAUCAGAAAAUGGAGCUGCACCAAAUAUUGAUGCAAAACCCAACAAAAAAGUAAACUCAAAAAUUGAAUCAAAACGUAAAACCGAAAAAAAAAUAAUGGAGGACGUCCCAAAACAAAAGAAAAAAGGAAAACAAACCGUCUCAAGUAAAUCAAAAACUGAACCAAAAUCAAUUGGGGAAGAAGUCCUUAACCAGAAGGAAAAAAAGGAAACAGUUACCGAAACACAAAGUAAUCUCUCAAAUCUACCGGAAACUAAAGGAAGAAAUAUUAACGUUGGUAGCAGGAAAAAAGUGCGAGUGGUAAAUACACCAACACCAAGUUUGUAUCAAAA